rnacentral:rRNA from 1 species
GACGUAGGGCGCGAGCGUUGUCCGGAUUUAUUGGGCGUAAAGAGCUCGUAGGCGGCUUGUCGCGUCGACUGUGAAAACUCGGGGCUCAACUCCGAGCUUGCAGUCGAUACGGGCAGGCUAGAGUUCGGUAGGGGAGGCUGGAAUUCCUGGUGUAGCGGUGAAAUGCGCAGAUAUCAGGAGGAACACCGGUGGCGAAGGCGGGUCUCUGGGCCGAUACUGACGCUGAGGAGCGAAAGCGUGGGGAGCGAACAGG